CUCCCUGUGGCUCAGUUGGUAGAGCAUGGUGUUUGCAACACCAGGGUUGUGGGUUCGAUUCCCAUGGGGGGC
rnacentral:tRNA from 1 species